rnacentral:rRNA from 1 species
AUUGAACGCUGGCGGCAGGCCUAACACAUGCAAGUCGAGCGGAUGAAGGGAGCUUGCUCCUGGAUUCAGCGGCGGACGGGUGAGUAAUGCCUAGGAAUCUGCCUGGUAGUGGGGGAUAACGUCCGGAAACGGGCGCUAAUACCGCAUACGUCCUGAGGGAGAAAGUGGGGGAUCUUCGGACCUCACGCUAUCAGAUGAGCCUAGGUCGGAUUAGCUAGUUGGUGGGGUAAAGGCCUACCAAGGCGACGAUCCGUAACUGGUCUGAGAGGAUGAUCAGUCACACUGGAACUGAGACACGGUCCAGACUCCUACGGGAGGCAGCAGUGGGGAAUAUUGGACAAAGGGCGAAAGCCUGAUCCAGCCAUGCCGCGUGUGCGAAGAAGGUCUUCGGAUUGUAAAGCACUUUAAGUUGGGAGGAAGGGCAGUAAGUUAAUACCUUGCUGUUUUGACGUUACCAACAGAAUAAGCACCGGCUAACUUCGUG